UUGCCAGUUCUCUGAACUAUUCAAAAUUUCCGCUACCUGUUCUCCAGAACCUUUCAGAACCUGCUGGAUUUCACCCCUGGUUGAGGGCCUUUCCAGCUUUUUUAUACAACAGCAGAGUGGAGGGGAACACCAGAUCUUGGAGGGGAACCUCAUUCUAGAGGGUAGGUGCUGCUACAGACAUUCUGGGAGAUGACAUUGUUUAAUUGAAGAAGCUCAGAGCACACCAACCCUACAAGAUCAAAUUGGUCAGGCAGAUAUACUUUUGUGUGCUUCUUUUUUUUCCUCCAAUGUUUUUCUUUAUGUAUUGGCAAAAAUAUUUUUAAAAAAUUAGAUGUAUUCUCAAUACAGAAUACAGAAGACUUUCUAACCCGAACUUUAUGGUAGAAAGAAGCUGGAUUUUUCUGGAAUGGCUUCUUAAACUAACUAAUUAAAAAUGAGAAAGAACAUUGG